rnacentral:misc_RNA from 1 species
GCGCAAUGGUAGCGCGUCUGACUCCAGAUCAGAAGGUUGCGUGUUCGAUUCACGUCGGGUUCAAAUCCCGAUCCCUUCUUUUGUUUGUCUGACACUUGUAUACUUUUUGAAGUUCAAUUGGUGGUCCUUGUGCCAUGGUCCCAAAGUGAAAUUCCAAUACCAAAGAUUCCACAAGGCUACACUCAUAUCAACAUCAUAUUACCGCCUUACCUAUGCUAUGGAGCAUAAGUGUAACCAUGAGGUCUAUGAAAACAACUAUAAUCCUGCUUUUAAAAUCAAU